rnacentral:pre_miRNA from 1 species
UAUCUACUCCCUCCGUCCGAAAAUACUUGUCAUCAAAAUGGACAAAAAAGGAUGUAUCUAGAACUAAAAUACAUCUAGAUACAUCCCCUUUUAUUCAUUUUGAUGACAAAUAUUUUCGGACGGAGGGAGUAUCUA